rnacentral:lncRNA from 1 species
CCAUUUUAUCCCUCUAAUUCAUCCAAAUAUUAUAAGAGGGAGUGAGUUUAUUUAAUCCUCCUCUUAAUGGGUUAUUUUAGAAUAACCCGUUAAGAGGAGGAUUUGUUGUUCCACCUUUUUGGUGGAAUAACAAAUUUUUCUCUUUAUACCUCUACUAGUUUAAUAAUAAAAUAUUAUUAAUUAAUAUAUUAUAUAUAUUAUUUUAUUAACUAAUUAGCUAAAUUAAAAAUUAACUAAUUUAAUAAUAAAAUAUUAGCUAAAUUAAUAAUUAUUUAUUAGUGUGUUUAUGCAAUAACUAAUAUCUUUAUUGAUUAAUAAAUUAAUAUUUUUACCAACAUAACUAAUUAAAUAAUUAAUUAAUUAAUUAAUUUACUAAUAUAUUAAUUUAUUAGCCUAAUUUGUUAACUUAUUAAAUUAUUUAUAGUUAGAUAAUUUAUUAAUUAACAGUACUCAUGGUUAAUUGAUUAAUGAUUAAUUAAUCUAGUAAUUAAUGUAUUAAUUAACAUUUAUGAUUAUCUAAAAGUAUUCAUGAUAAAUUAAUUUUUUAAAAUUAUAAAUUUGAGAUUUUAAAAAUUUAAAAUUUAAUUUUGAUUUUGAAAAUUUAAAAGUUUAUAUUUUAAAUUUUAAAAUAUAAAUAUAAAAUAUAAAAAUUCUAAUUCUAAUAUAAAGAAAAUAAUAAUAAUAUUAUUUUUUAUUUGUAACUACCUAUUUUAAUUCUUUCCAUCUUACCUAACCAACCAAACGUAAAAUUGAUCUAACCCCGCUUAUACCUCAAUUUAUACCUAUCCCCGAAAUACUCACUUUUUGCUUAUUUUCGAACCAAACGAUACCUAAG